rnacentral:rRNA from 1 species
GAUGAACGUUGGCGGCGUGCCUAACACUUGCAAGUCGAGCGAUUUACUUCGGUAAAGAGCGGCGGACGGGUGAGUAACGCGUGGGUAACCUGCCCUGUACACACGGAUAACAUACCGAAAGGUAUGCUAAUACGAGAUAAUAUGCUUUUAUCGCAUGGUAGAAGUAUCAAAGCUUUUGCGGUACAGGAUGGACCCGCGUCUGAUUAGCUAGUUGGUAAGGUAACGGCUUACCAAGGCGACGAUCAGUAGCCGACCUGAGAGGGUGAUCGGCCACAUUGGAACUGAGACACGGUCCAAACUCCUACGGGAGGCAGCAGUGGGGAAUAUUGCACAAUGGGCGAAAGCCUGAUGCAGCAACACCGCGUGAGCGAUGAAGGCCUUCGGGUCGUAAAGCUCUGUCCUCAAGGAAGAUAAUGACGGUACUUGAGGAGGAAGCCCCGGCUAACUACGUGCCAGCCGCCGCAGUAA